UACAGAGGGUGCAAGCGUUGUUCGGAAUUAUUGGGCGUAAAGAGCUCGUAGGCGGUCUGUCACGUCGGCUGUGAAAUCCCGAGGCUCAACCUCGGGUCUGCAGUCGAUACGGGCAAACUAGAGUAUUGCAGGGGAGACUGGAAUUCCUGGUGUAGCGGUGAAAUGCGCAGAUAUCAGGAGGAACACCGGUGGCGAAGGCGGGUCUCUGGGCAACUACUGACGCUGAGGAGCGAAAGCGUGGGGAGCAAACAGG
rnacentral:rRNA from 1 species